UUCUGCCCGUACGUCGUCGUCACUUUUGCAAAAAAGCCCCUCUAUUUUCAAGAAUUCAACCCGCAGUCCCUUUUUAAGUUGCUAUCUCAGAAAACGUUUCGUUAUUACAAAAAGAACCCUGCCGUUUUGAGAAUUCAACCCGCGGUCCCACUGGAAAAAAAAAAACCUAGCCACACGAACGACCCAUGAACCCCAAUCUCAUCCACCUCCAGCGCCGCCACGCCCUGCAACGCCGCCGCGCGCCGCCGAACUCCGCCCCGUCGUCGCCCCGCCGGAAUCCGCCGGAACUCGACCCGCCGUCGCGCCGCCGCUCAAGCCCAGCUUCUGGAUCGGGUCAACGCGGUGGCUCGAGCGGCUGGGGGCGGAUCCGGCGAGGAGGAGGCCGGAGUCGAGGCGGGCCACGCCAUGGGAGGAGGCCGGAGCUCGAGGGGCACGGUAAUGGGUGCGGCGGGGCGGAUCCGGCGAGGAGAGACCGGAGUGGAGGUGGGGGCACGCCAUGGGAGGCUAGCAAAGCUUCGGGCAGCACCAUCCAUAGUGGUUGCUACCUGUGGGAGAAGAGGAGGGAGAUUUUGAGAAAGAGAGAGAGACAGGAGUAAAGAGAGAGGGAAGGGAGAGGAAGGAGAGAUGGCCGGAGGCGUGGUCAAUGGUGAAGGUCCGGCGGCGCGCGGAGCGCGCUGCCCGCCGGUGGACACCCAAUUGUGCGUGAACCCGCCGAGGACUGACCUCGCCACCUCCGUGCCUCCCCCAGGAUCUCCGUCACUGCCUCAUGCUGCUGUGCGCAAAGAUACUGCUGCCUCUCCCUGGUACAUCCAUCUCCACUUCCUCGGGGCGCUGCUCGCCGGCUCAUGACCUGCUAUGGAAUUGACGUUUGCGCACACAAGUUCCCCUGUCUGGCUCUGCCGGCUCCCGUAGUUGAGCAGAGCCAGGAGAUCGAGAGAGGAAAUACUCACUUGAUUUUGCAAAUUAUGUUGGGCAUGGAGAUUGAUCUGUUAUUUUUGGUUGUCCCUAGAUUCAAGGAUGACAGCGCCCAAACCUUUCCCUGAUGUUUGGGCAAAGGCGUGUAUGUCUGAUGUGCAGCAAAGCGACGAAACAAUGGUCGAUGGUUAUGUAUCUCGCGGGACUCGACGGUUACAGUUUCGGGAGCAGCACUGUUGCUUGCUAGCAUAUUUUUUUUCUUACAUAUAUGAACUGAUGAUGCUUUAUUUGGUGUUGUUUCCCAUGGCAGUACAUUAUGGCUUUGUUGACGAUGAUUUCUGCUAAUGUGCACACAGCUGAGGAAUAGACCCGGCAAGGAAGAGAGCUACACCAAUGUAGUCGGUGGAAUUAACAAGCAAAGUAAAUCCUGAAGCUCCUGGUUGUAACAAGAGGAAGUCGAUUUGUCAGUGGAAACAUAGCUGCAAGGAAGCGAUAUCUCAACUUUGACGUUACUUAAGCUUUUGGAUUUCAGAUUUAGUUGCCAUCACCAAACUGAUAUUAUGCUUGGACUCACAAAUGCAUGUAAUGCUUCCACUAGAGGUUUGUUCUUCGUUUCUUCUAUGUUAUUCCUCUUUCAAGUUUUUGGUCCUUGAAAAGUAAUAGUACUUGCUAGGUUUUCUAGGUUCAUUUUUUGUGUGGUAGAAGCUGAAUGUAUAUGGCCUGAAUUUACAUAUCAGAGUGUAUGAGUUGAUUAAGGGUAUGGGAGAGAACAAUUGUCAUCCUCAAAUAACACGCGUCGUCACUAAGUUUCUUAUAUUUACCAAUUGAAACAUGUCACUAAGUUGCUACUGAUGUCACGGUGUCCAUAAUGCAGAACACAUAAUAAGUUAAAUCAAGCCAAUGAUUUUGUUCUUUUAGCCAGAGUCAGGUUCAGAGUUGUUCACACUGAAUUUUCUGGGCACAUCCAUAAGCAAGCUAGCACGUAUUAUUUAACUGAAGCAGAGGGCGGCUAAGCUAUGAAUGCUUCAUUCUUUGUUCUGAACAAAUGCAGCUACGACUUUAUAUUUUGAAGAACCGGCACCUGAGUGUGUUCUGUUUUUAUAGCCUGCAGAGUCUGGAGAGUAAAGCUUGUACAUUUUGUAAACCAUUUUGUUCCAGUUUCCCUUGGUAUACAAGUCUAUACUGUAUCGGGUUUUGCCAUUGCCGAUCAUGUACUUCUUUCUGUGCUAGACCGGUAUAAGUAUAUUUAGCUCAUGUACACAUGGCAUUUGGAUUGAACCAAAGAAUUUCAUGUUGAUGACUACAUAUAUACCUGAACAUGGUGGCUUGAACUUGGUUAUUAUUCUUGGACAUGAUGCUGGAAUAAUUCUUGAAGUUUCAUAUAUUCUGCUCUUUCUUCAAUUAUCAAUUAGUUUAAUUGCAUCCCUGAUGGUAGUUUUAGAUAUGUAGCAAAAGAAAGGGUCAAUUACACAUUGUUGGGCCCUCACGGCCCAAUAGUAAGAAGAUCUUCUUUUAGGGGUCGCAGCGGUACGAAGAUAAGUUCGUGGGUCCUUCC